AGGACGUUGUUGAAGCUGGUGGCACCAAAGGCGCGAGCUGCCGUGGAAGCGCGCGAAGCGGCAAAGUCUUCAGCCGUCCGGGUGUUUCACCAACUGCGACUGUUGUGCCAUCAGCUGUCACAGCGCAUGGUGCAAGAAGGUAGACUGCCUUCACCCGAGCUUCUGUUCUUCCUGACCUACGAAGAGAUCGGCCUCCUUCUCAGGACAAGAUCACCCGAGCUUGUUCUCAAGGCUCAGCGACGCCAGAAAAUUCACGCUGAAGCCGACAAGUGCCAGUACGCAUCCAUCUUUGUAGGCAUACCGAAGCCGGUU